GACGAACGCUGGCGGCGUGCCUAAUACAUGCAAGUCGAGCGAACAGACGAGGCGCUUGUUCCUUGCUCGUUAGCGGCGGACGUGUGAGUAACACGUGGAUACUCUACCUGUAAGACUGGGAUAACUUCGGGAAACCGGAGCUAACAGCGGAUAAUAUCUUGAACCGCAUGGUUCAAUAGUAAAAGACGGUUUUUGGGGCUCGUAUAGAUGCAUCCGCGCGGCAUGGGCUGGUUGGUAAGUUAACGGCUUUCUACGGCGACGAUGCGUAUCCGACGUGAGAGGGUGAUAGGCGACCCGGGAACGGAGCCGCGGUCCAGGCUCCUACGGGAGGCAGCAGUAGGGAAUGGUCCGCAAUGGGCGAAAGCUUGACGGAGCGACGGCGCGUGAGUGAUGACGGCGUUCGGAUCGUAAAGCUGUGUUAUUGGGGAAGAACAAAUGUGUACGUAACUGUGCAGGUCUUGACGGUACCUAAUCAGAAAGCCACGGCUAACUACGUG
rnacentral:rRNA from 1 species